GACGACCGAUAGUGAACCAGUACCGUGAGGGAAAGGUGAAAAGCACCCCGACGAGGGGAGUGAAAGAGACCUGAAACCGGAUGCUUACAAGCAGUGGGAGCCUCCUUGAGGGGUGACCGCGUACCUUUUGUAUAAUGGGUCAUCGACUUGGUCUCACGAGCAAGCUUAAGCCGUUAGGUGUAGGCGCAGCGAAAGCGAGUCUUAAUAGGGCGUCGAGUUCGUGGGAUCAGACCCGAAACCGAGUGAUCUAGA
rnacentral:rRNA from 1 species